rnacentral:rRNA from 1 species
UCAGAGUGAACGCUGGCGGCGUGCUUAACACAUGCAAGUCGAACGAGAACGGUCCUAGCUUGCUAGGAUGUCAGCUAAGUGGCGGACGGGUGAGUAAUGUAUAGUUAAUCUGCCCUUUAGAGAGGGAUAACUACUGGAAACGGUAGCUAAUACCUCAUACUCCUUCUACCUUAAUGGUAGUUGGGAAAUGUUUUUUCGCUAAAGGAUGAGACUAUAUGGUAUCAGGUAGUUGGUGGGGUAAGAGCCUACCAAGCCUAUGACGCCUAGCUGGUCUGAGAGGAUGAUCAGCCACACUGGAACUGAGACACGGUCCAGACUCCUACGGGAGGCAGCAGUGGGGAAUAUUGCACAAUGGAGGAAACUCUGAUGCAGCAACGCCGCGUGGAGGAUGACACAUUUCGGUGCGUAAACUCCUUUUAUAUGGGAAGAUAAUGN